rnacentral:rRNA from 1 species
CAAGCGGUGGAGCAUGUGGUUUAAUUCGAUGCAACGCGAAGAACCUUACCUGGCCUUGACAUCCACGGAAUUCGGCAGAGAUGCCUUAGUGCCUUCGGGAACCGUGAGACAGGUGCUGCAUGGCUGUCGUCAGCUCGUGUUGUGAAAUGUUGGGUUAAGUCCCGCAACGAGCGCAACCCUUAUCCUUUGUUGCCAGCGCGUGAUGGCGGGAACUCAAAGGAGACUGCCGGUGACAAACCGGAGGAAGGUGGGGAUGACGUCAAGUCAUCAUGGCCCUUACGGCCAGGGCUACACACGUGCUACAAUGGCGCAUACAAAGAGAAGCGACCUCGCGAGAGCAAGCGGACCUCAUAAAGUGCGUCGUAGUCCGGAUCGGAGUCUGCAACUCGACUCCGUGAAGUCGGAAUCGCUAGUAAUCGUAGAUCAGAACGCUACGGUGAAUACGUUCCCGGGCCUUGUACACACC